AAUAAAGGGAUGAGGGGCAGCUGACCGCCAGCCGCGUGUGUGAAGAAGGCCUUAUGGUUGUAAAGCACUUUAAGCGAGGAGGAGGCUACUUUAGUUAAUACCUAGAGAUAGUGGACGUUACUCGCAGAAUAAGCACCGGCUAACUCUGUGCCAGCAGCCGCGGUAAUACGA
rnacentral:rRNA from 1 species